rnacentral:lncRNA from 1 species
GAAAUGAGAUUGCAGUGCACAUGGGGUUCUGCCACUCACAGUGUAGGAUGUUUCACCAUGUCUUCCUGAAAUGAUUUGCAAAUAGUCAAGAACAAAUGACUGUGGUGAUAGAGAUGUAUUUAUUGCUGCCACCUUGUUCCCACUUCACCGUUGCAUAUUUGUACACAGGACACAUAUUUAUUCUUUUAAGUUUAGAUUUUACUGAGAAAUGAGGACCUUAUCUGGACUUCACUGGGAGAAUUAUGAGUGGCCAGAGAUACUACAUUUUGAGCUGGAUGCCAGACCUUGAAAGAACUCUGCAUUUUUCAUUUUGAGAGAAGUCAGUGUGUUUUAUAAUGGGAGGAAGAUUAAAGCAGGUAUUUUGGCAUCAGAAGGACUGACCUUGACAGAGAUUGGUGAGGUUACUUCCUUGCUCCUGAAAAUGAUGAUGUUCUAUUUUCUACUAUUUGUGUCUAAAAAUUUAAACAGGUCCUGAGAAGAGGAUUAGAAAAAGGCAACACAUCAAAAAGUUAAGAGGCAGAAAUAGCUUUUAUGUUGCUGGUAAAUUUAAUGAGAUCUUAAGUUAUUAGACUGGCAAGUCUCAUCUCUUUGAGCAUCUCAGUGAAGACUGUCAGAAAUCAUCAAAAUUCAACACAACAGAGUAAAAGCUAAUAGCCUUUUUGUUAUACCAAAACUGAAAGGAUUGAUGUUCUUAAGUAACAAAAAGCAAUAAAGAUAAAAUACAGGACAUCAAAGAUAUCACAUACAUUCAUAUAUCUCAAGAAAUGAAAGCAAUGAAAGAGCUGUGGUCAGCCAAAGAGGAGCAAAGAGUCAUCUACCUCAAUCAUGUUCAGGAAAUGAUCAGGUCAAGAUGUGGAGUGAGCAAGCUUUUCUCUUUUGUGCCACAUUUUCUGACCCAGUAUUUCAAGCUACCCAAGGUGCGAAAAAGAAAGAAGGCCGAAGGGAAGAAGGUGGUGCUCACCCUUGCUGUCUUGAAAAAGCAGGAGACCAUGAAAGUGGUGAAUCUUCCAUUUGAGAAAUUUGGCACUGGACAGGACAUUUUGGCAUUGGACAGAACAUCCAGCCCAAAAGGGACCUCACUUACUUUGUCAAAUGGCCCCAUUAUACUAGGUUGCAGCAGCAGAGAGCCAUCCUCUAUAAACAGCUAGAAGUGCCUUCUGUGAUUAAUCAGUUCACCAGGGCCUUGGACCACCAAACAGCUGCUCAAUGGGGGCCCAGUGCAAAAUGACGUGGAUGUUGUACCUCGUUCAAAGUGUUAAGCGUUUCAAGAUGGCAACAGCAGAGCAUUAGGCCAAGUAUGAGGUCAUUAUGUACAUGGGUCCUUGUGUGACCACACAGGUCACAGGAACAUGAAGCUAGACCUGAGUGUAUAUUCAGAUAGGUAAAUCUUACAGAUUUUUAAAACUCAAUAAAAGAAAAACUACAUUUCAUGUGUGAACACAAAAAUUGGAAUUAAAUUGGCAAUAGCAUUGGGAUUUGUGCUCAGAGUCACAGUUUACAUCUGACCACAAUUUCUAUAUGAAUUUUUUAAGAUAAAACAGUAAGAAUUUUAGAGAAGGUUUCUGAAAUUUAAAAAUUAUAAUAACAUAAUUAACUUUGAUAUUUUAAUUCCAUGUAAUUUAAAACAUUUAAUAGAUAUAUAAUGUUCCACUAUUAAUUUAACUAGAAGUAUAAAAAUAAAACAUAUAUAAUAAAAAUAUUCUACUGAUUUUUAAAUUAUCUAUAUUAUACUGAGUAAAAGAAAAUUUAGGAAUAUAAAUAAAUGAGCAUUUUUGAACAUGUAAAAAUAUUUUCUUGCUGUUUUUAGGAGACUUUUAGCAGGACAGGAGCUUACCUCUCAUCUACCUCUGCUUGGACAAACCAGUGAUGUGAUUUGCAAAUAGGCUGUAACUUCACCGAAAACACAUCACAGUAAAGAAAAGCAGUGACUUUCAGAGAAUUUGACCUAACUUAGAAUUUGUAAAAGAGAAAAGCAUUGUCCUUAUGCCUAAAGUACAUGACUGUUUCUUUUUAAGUUACAUGUAUAUUUACCUGACCAAUUUGUUUUACUCUGUAUUUUAAGUUAUCAGGUGAAAUGGUUUUGGAAUAAAUUAAUGAGUUGUUUGUUCUGAAUAAAUGUGCAUGUUACAAGUGCAA